ACCACGUAAUUUAGGUGCAGAGGCGGUCUUGUGGUUUUUAUGAGGCCCUAUCGUUAGUUAUCAGGAAGGAUGUAUGAAUAAAGUCAAAAAAACCGAAGAAGAAUGGAAGAAUAUACUUGGUGUCGAAGAGUAUAGGGUUUUUCGGGAAAAAGGAACUGAAGCGCCUGGCACAGGUAAGUAUAACAAGCACUUCCCCGUCUCUGGUUACUACGCUUGUAAGGCUUGCGGUAAUCCGCUUUACUCGGCAUCCUCAAAGAUUAAAGCUGGGUGUGGAUGGCCAGCGUUCGAUAAAUGUUAUGAAGGGAGCUUUAUUGUUCUAAUCAAAAUUCAUUUUGAUAGUGUGUAAUCUUAGGAAAUAAAUUUAUUAUUACACUUAGGUUCCGUGAAAACGCAG